CUUCCGUACCGUAUCAUCAUCAUCAUAGCAUAGGGGGACUAAUGGAUCAUUCAACAUCCAUCCACAUCAUCAAACGUAAUAUGCAAUGCAACAUAUUCGUGAGUCUAAUGCAAAACCCUAUUAUCUCAUGGCAUUCAUGAUGCGUGAAUCAUGCUAAACUGAUUUAUUUAUUUAAAAGCAUAAAAGUUAUUCCACUCACCUCUGGCUAGCUCUGACACUGACUGAAGCAGCUGACUCACUGCUGGGGUCCUCGGUUCCUCGGGUCCAAACCUACACAGGUGGACUCAAAUGAGGGACCAACAUACUAGAACAUAACUCU
rnacentral:lncRNA from 1 species